AUUUUUAAUAUUCGUACAGCACAGGAAUUUCCAAAGCAGAGUCAGGAAACACCAGACAUUUCAGUAAGACUUCAUGCUGACUCUACAGAGCGCGGGGCAGAUAACGACGUAUGGCAGGAAGCUGUACUUAUACCAACCAAGACUCGUCCUAGUUAAUUACAUUUUCUGACAACUAGCAUGAUGUCACAUCACCCAAAAUGGAAACUCAUCUCACAGGAAACAGCCAUUACCUGGACUCUGUAACCCUGCCGCUGGAUGCCUAGUGAAGUCAUUUGACACGGACAGUGUGUGGAGGCAAGGUCUCUAAAUCUCCAGCUGAGCUACGAUGACACAGAAGCUCAUCCCGACACAGUAGAUUCUUUUGUGUUUAUCGACUCUGCACAUGAGUGUGAAGACGACAAGUAAUGUCACUGUGUUCGGUUAUUACCUUCUCCUCCAAGAGGCAGCAAGAAGGAAGACUUAGCUCACCAGCCCGGGUCCAAACAACAAGAAAAAAUAUUUCAGGUAAAGUGGAUUUUGAUGGCCUGUGGAGAAAAAUGUGUUCGUUUUUACAAAUUAAAAUGAACUGAGCUCCAUAACACCCUGAGGAAUUGGAGGCAGUGCCUUUGUGGUCAGCAUCUCUGGUUUGUAUUUAGAAACCCCAUAGGUUAAUAUCCAAAUUAUAUAAAGAACUCCUACAACUCAACAGCAAAAGACCCUGAAUAAUCCAAUUAAAAAUGGGCAAAGGACCUGAACAGAC
rnacentral:lncRNA from 1 species